rnacentral:snoRNA from 1 species
CUGCAGACAGUUAUCCCUUCCUGAGCUGACGUGCUCUCUGAGGGAGUCAGUCUGCCACAGAAACUUUCAGGUUUGAGUUUCUUGGCUCAGCUGUUUGCUGAGCUGCUGCUCACCUGAAAACAGUCA